UCCCUGAUAGCUCAGCGGUAGAGUAGGUGACUGUUAAUCACUUGGUCGUAGGUUCGAAUCCUACUCAGGGAGCCA
rnacentral:tRNA from 18 species